GACGAACGCUGGCGGCGUGCUUAACACAUGCAAGUCGAACGAAGAGCGAUGGAAGCUUGCUUCUAUCAAUCUUAGUGGCGAACGGGUGAGUAACGCGUAAUCAACCUGCCCUUCAGAGGGGGACAACAGUUGGAAACGACUGCUAAUACCGCAUACGAUCUGACCUCGGCAUCGAGGAUAGAUGAAAGGUGGCCUCUACAUGUAAGCUAUCACUGAAGGAGGGGAUUGCGUCUGAUUAGCUAGUUGGAGGGGUAACGGCCCACCAAGGCGAUGAUCAGUAGCCGGUCUGAGAGGAUGAACGGCCACAUUGGGACUGAGACACGGCCCAGACUCCUACGGGAGGCAGCAGUGGGGAAUCUUCCGCAAUGGACGAAAGUCUGACGGAGCAACGCCGCGUGAGUGAUGACGGCCUUCGGGUUGUAAAGCUCUGUUAAUCGGGACGAAAGGCCUUUUUGCGAAUAGUGAGGAGGAUUGACGGUACCGGAAUAGAAAGCCACGGCUAACUACGUG
rnacentral:rRNA from 1 species